GUGGGUAGUUUGACUGGGGCGGUCUCCUCCUAAAGCGUAACGGAGGAGCACGAAGGUUGGCUAAUCCUGGUCGGACAUCAGGAGGUUAGUGCAAUGGCAUAAGCCAGCUUGACUGCGAGCGUGACGGCGCGAGCAGGUGCGAAAGCAGGUCAUAGUGAUCCGGUGGUUCUGAAUGGAAGGGCCAUCGCUCAACGGAUAAAAGGUACUCCGGGGAUAACAGGCUGAUACCGCCCAAGAGUUCAUAUCGACGGCGGUGUUUGGCACCUCGAUGUCGGCUCAUCACAUCCUGGGGCUGAAGUAGGUCCCAAGGGUAUGGCUGUUCGCCAUUUAAAGUGGUACGCGAGCUGGGUUUAGAACGUCGUGAGACAGUUCGGUCCCUAUCUGCCGUGGGCGCUGGAGAACUGAGGGGGGCUGCUCCUAGUACGAGAGGACCGGAGUGGACGCAUCACUGGUGUUCGGGUUGUCAUGCCAAUGGCACUGCCCGGUAGCUAAAUGCGGAAGAGAUAAGUGCUGAAAGCAUCUAAGCACGAAACUUGCCCCGAGAUGAGUUCUCCCUGAGACUACAAGUCUCCUGAAGGAACGUUGAAGACGACGACGUUGAUAGGCCGGGUGUGUAAGCGC
rnacentral:rRNA from 1 species